rnacentral:rRNA from 1 species
GACAGAGGGUGCAAACGUUGCUCGGAAUCACUGGGCGUAAAGGGCGUGUAGGCGGGCAGGUAAGUCGGGCGUGAAAUCCCUGAGCUCAACUCAGGAACUGCACUCGAAACUACUUGGUCUUGAGUACCGGAGAGGAAAGCGGAAUACCUGGUGUAGAGGUGAAAUUCGUAGAUAUCAGGUGGAACACCAGUGGCGAAGGCGGCUUUCUGGACGGUAACUGACGCUGAGACGCAAAAGCGUGGGGAGCAAACAGG